UUGCUAUGAUGACGAACUUAGGACACCUUUGGAUUAACCAUGAAAUAAACCAUAUUCUGAGCAAC
ensembl:snoRNA SNORD58 Small nucleolar RNA SNORD58